rnacentral:tRNA from 1 species
GCCGGGGUCGCCUAGCCUGGUCUAGGGCGCCGGUCCUGCUAUCCGGUCAUCCCGGGUUCGAAUCCCGGCCCCGGCACCA